GGAGUGCUGGGUAGAGCAAGGCCGGUGCCUGGCUAGGGCUUCACCCUCCGGCUUGUGCCCACGAACCUAGGUGAGGACAGGCACUCCUGCCUUUGGGCCCAAAUGUUGCAUUUUCCAAAACCACCCUGGCCCACCACGCCCCCAUCCUGGGCGGAUAAAAACUGAGACCCUAGCAGGCAGAUACACAAGCGUCUGGACGUCCAGAGGAGGGGAUCAGCGGAAGAAGACACAAGCAGCCGGACAUCGAGAGGAUGUCGAGGGGAGCAUGCCAGUGGAAGAGCACAUGACAGACACUGGCAGGACAGCAGGCCAUUGACUGGAGGAACGAUGUGGAGUUUAGCGAGAUCAGGAGGAGGAGAGCACGGGCCGCUAAGCAGAGGGACCCCUGGUGCAUCUCCCAUCUGGCUCCCCCAUCUGCUGAGAACUACUUCUACUCAGUAAAACCUCGGACUCAUUCUCCAAGCCCUCGCGUGAUCUGAUUCUUCCGGUACACCACGGCAGGAAACCCUGGGAUACAGAAAUCCCUCCGUCCUUGUGGAUUUUAGAAUGCCAAGCUGACAUUUUGAGUUGUUAUGAGAAACCAGAAAAUUUGGUGUGAAGACCCUAAGUGGUGCGUCUGACUUACAGCAGGCCCACAAAAGUAAAAGGUCCCUGGAGAAAUUUAAAACAAAUAUAUAAGGUACCUGUUAUUGAGUGAGAUAAGCAAAUGGUAUUUCAGGACCAAAACAUCUAUUUCCUGAAGAGUUGCUCCUUUAAUUGUGUAUCUACCUACCUGUCUAUGUAACUCUCGGCAAAUAUAUUGGAGACUUCUCAACUUUCUGCUUCUGAUGAUCUCAACUUGUGGUAUGGCAAAAGGAGAGCAAAAUGUUCACCCAGAUGACAUCGUGAUCAACUCCUCUGAAUCACUCUAAAGGAACGAGAAGUCCUGGCAGCUGAGUCAUGAUCCCCCAGGAGCCAUUAAGAAGUUCAUCUUCAGUCACUUCCAUCCAAACAGAAGAAAACCCAUGAAGCAUGAGAACUAUGGGUCCUGAGAAUGACAGGUAAUUGGUGCCACUUUAUUCACAGAAUCCAAUAAAUAGUACCCUUUGAUUCACA